rnacentral:lncRNA from 1 species
GCGAGAUGAAACCCCCGGUGUUGGUAAGCGGGUAUCAAGGGAGCGGCGAGGGCCUGGGCCUCACGCUUCUUGGUCUAGGCGGCUGGAAAGCAAGACACGGCAUCCCCUUUUGGACAUGGGGGAGCAGCAUGGCACUUCUAGUACCGACUGUGUACGUCCUGUGGACCUCCCUCUUUGCUCGGCUCCUUGACCACCCUGAGCUUCCGCAAACCUCCUUGCUAGCUAAUAGGAUCUUCCCCUCACCUGGCCUUGCUUGGCUAAAGCUAGUGGGAAGGGGGCGGUGGUGCAGACUACCUGUGUUACCUUGGUCAGAUCACCUAAACACCCUCUACCUUUGGCUGUCAUAUCCCUAUCUUAAUCUCUGCUCUGCCCACCUUCCCGGGUUACCCUUACCCCCCACAGCUCCAGAGAGCAACAUUCACAGACAACACAGUGUGAAUGGAGUGGGGCCUAGUGAGCAAUCAGAAGCACUCUGUAGACUAUAACUACUGUAAAACACCUUGUGUUUAAACGGCUCUUGUAGCAGUUAUCAUGAAAUGGGGAUCUCCAUGGGCAGGAACCAUGUCUGACUCACCUCUGGAACCCAGGGCCCAUCACAGGGCUUGGCCCGGUGUAAGCAUCAAUAAGUGUUCUUGGAACUGAGCUACCUAGGCAGAGGAAAACAGGCAGGCUUGAGCAGUGAGAAACAGUAUUGUGGCUCCAGGCUGCUGGAAUUUCCCCAGCACAAGACCACCUCCAGGAGACACCAUGUUCCCUUGCCAGACAAGUGCAAACAGAACAGUUUGCCUCCCCAAACCUGCAGAUUAUUAUUAUUUUUUCUCUACUCUACUUCUUGCCAUGUGAUCCUACUCUCAGCCCUUUGGUGUUUACCAGGUAUUGUCCUACCUGGCAGCUCUCUUAGCUCUCUCUUCAGAAUUCAAUCAACUUCCUGUAGAUGAACUUUCCAGCAAAAGCUGUUCCUACCCAGUUUGCAAGGCCCAGUCAGCUUGUACUCUCAGAGGGCCAGCACUCCACUCUGAUGGAAAUCUGCCUGUGAUGCCAGCCUGGGGAGUGCCCUUCACACGUGAUCUCAUCUAAGCCUGGCUUGACAGUAAGAAGAGGAGGAAGAGGAGGAAGCUUAGGAAUCCUCUCUGAAGGGGACAUGGUUCUUGGAGGCCUGAUUUGUAUUGGGGAGAAUCCUGAAACCAAUCACUGAGGGAGCACUACCCUUUAUGAUGGGGAUGGAAAAGCCACAGCAACCCUAUGGCCUCUAGUUUUGGAGAGGGACUCAGCUAAAGACCAAAGGAAGCACCAGAAAGAAGAACUGAAGAGUUUAAUUUGGUUAAACAUAAAUAAAAAUAAAAACAUCUCUAGAAUAUAGAAACUAUCUCUAGAAGUCCGGGUGUUGUGGCUCACACCUGUAAUCCCAGCAUUUUGGGAGGCUAAGGCAGGUGGAUGACCUGAGCUCAGGAAUUUGAGACCAGCCUGGGCAAUAUGGCAAAACUUCGUCUCUGCCAAAAAUACAAAAAAUUAGCCGGGUGUGGUGGUAUGCACCUGUUGUCACAGCUACUCGAGAGGCUGAAGUGGGAGAACUGCUUGAGCCUGGGAGGCAGAGGUUGUAGUGAGCCAAGAUUGCACCACUGCACUCCAACCUGGGUGAAAAAAAUAAAAGAAAAACUAUCUCUAGGGGUGGAGCUCUGGGGAAUGUUUUCUCUGUUCAAAUGUUCUACCAAGCAGAUGUAUUACAGUGGAUGUGAUUGCCUUUAAUUUGCUUGAUUUGCUGGACAUCGUUCAAAGGUCAUCCCCAGGUAUCAGUGGAUGGAUAGGAAGGAGAGUGUGUGCACUGAGGGUGUGGCUGUGGGCCCUGCAGGGGAGGCACCACAGGGAGGGGCUGGCACUCCUAUGGGCUCAGACGCUCAGGUGAGUUGCCCAUUACAUAAGGUGCAUUGCUAGGGCAUUAGCUCAGCCAGGAAGGAACCACUCUGGACUUGUG